UGAAAAAAAUCCAUACAGGAUGGAAUGCAUGGCAUUUUCUCUGAAACUUCCUCCCUGUCCAGUGUUAUCUACCUUGGAACGAUUGUCUCAUUUAGAGGGACUCUCUAACCUGAGUACACAUUUGAAACAUCUGAGGGCUUUGAAACAUACCUGCUCCUGGACCACCUGCUGAACCAAUUAAAUCAGAAUUUCUGUUGUGAAGAUCUCCACGUGAGUUUAAGGUACGGCUAGACGGUCAAACUCAGCACUCCUGACAACUGGGGGAAAUCUUCUAUGAUGAAUUAGUUAUUUGAGGAAUAUUUUGUUUAUUUUCCAGCUUUCCUGCUCAACUGUUAGUUCCAUGAAGGCAACAGCCAUGCCUGCUUCGUUCACUGAAAUAUCUUCGUUUCCUAACACACAGAAAGUCAUCAUUUUUUGACGGAUGAAAGAAUGGAUGAAUGCCUAGUCUUGGAGACAUCUACUUGCAAUAAAGGUUAGAUGAAGGAAAUGGAUGCCAGUGGGAGAUUUGUGGAUCUAUUUCACCAGAUUUCACUCUGCUGACUCAGCAAAAUGGUCCCCGAAGAAAGUAUGUAUGAUAUAUGAAUGCCUAGCCACCUGUCUUGGAACAAACAGGGAUUUCUUUAGCUUUCUCCCACCAGGA
rnacentral:lncRNA from 10 species